rnacentral:misc_RNA from 1 species
AGGAGGUGGUGGUGGGGGUGGGGGUGGGGGUGGCGAGGGGAGGAGGGGUGGUGGAUCUUGAUGGUGGGGAGUUGAGGGUGGUCAGGAUCUACAGGGUUUUGUUGAGGAUUCAUUGUUUGGAAGGAAAGCUAAGGAUGAAGUAAGUGAUGAUUGCAAUUGCAGAGAAAUGAAGACAAUUUUGGUGGGUAGGACACGAGAGGAA